AAACCGUUCAGGGGUAAACCUGAGAAACCCAAAAGAUCGAAUGGGGAGACUCAGCGUCAGCCGCUUGUUGGCUUGCGUGCGGCUCGCGAUGCUCUCGGUGGCCUUUCACGAGGUCUUUAUCGAGGGCACGCGGUCGCUGCGUCAUGUCCGGCGCGGUCGGCGUGCACUUCUCCCCUAGUAGGACGUCGCGACCCGUUGGGUGUCGACCGACGGCCCGCGAGGUAGCCUGGGGCGCAGCGCGUUAAUAGCGCGCUCGCGUCUCAGACCCGCGUGUGCCCGGCUCGACUGCCCGGCGGUAGAGAUCGCUUAUGAUAAUGGUAUGGGGUCGCACGCUCAUGUAAAUCUGCGAUGCGUUUCGGCCCGUCGACAGACUGGCCUCGCUCGGCGUUUACGGACCUGGUGCCGUUGCCGAGCGCUUGGUCGGUCCAAUUCGACGGUGUCCUCGAACGGGCCCUGCUUUAAAACAUACCCGUCGGCGACGCUACUGCUUUGGGUACUUUCAGGACCCGUCUUGAAACACGGACCAA
rnacentral:rRNA from 1 species